UGUAACAGACGGUAAAUCAGCGUCUUUUCAGUAGUGUCUACUGCAGGAUGGAUAUAAAAGUAUAAAACACGUUUUGGUUUGACAACAUCGUUCAUAUGUGAAUUAUCACAAUUAAAGCACAAAGACAUAACAUUACACCCCGAGACAUUUCACAAGUGUGACAAAAGAGAAGAAACGCUUUCCGGAAGAGAAGUUCAUCAGGCGAGUUGGAGACUAGUCGACUCAUCCAGUUUAGCGGAGAGCAUCAACCCCUAAUUGACAUGAGGAAAAAAUCAUUGAAAAGUGUUCAGUGUACAGUGUACCCCUCUUUGCAACAGAGGAAGCAUUAGGAGAGAAGAGAAGAGAGAAAGUGAACAGAUGUUGAAAUGCAUGUUAUUGUUCAAGGGGUAGUUGCAUGGACUAUCAGUGGAGGAACAGAAAGCUCUGAGAUUUCAUUAUAAAGAUCUUCAUUUGUGUUCUGAAGAUGAACGAAAGACUUGCAGGUUUGGAACAAUAUGAGGACUACAUCCAAAAUAGUGUUUCCACAUCUGAGAUGAAGGCAGUCAUAAGAACCAAGCGGAACGAUGAGGAUAAGCUCUUCAAAAAAUGAAACCUGUCAGAAUAAUGAGGGAAGAAAUGUGCGUGAUUGUGUGAUUUGUAAAUAAACACUAAAUACAUUUAGUGUAACUCUCAGCCUGUUAUUUUAAGUUUAA